GACGACUCAAUGUCCAUCCAAAGAUCUUGGGUAGAGAGUUACCUUGAUGAGCAGAGAAAGUUCAUCAGAGAGUUCCUGACUCUCCAGGAACAAGGUGUACUUCACCCAUACCUCAGUGUCAAUCACAUGAGGAGAUGGAUCAUCUCUGAUACAAGGAAGGCCUUCCUGAAAAGAUUUCAAGAAAUGGCAGAAGGGACAGACAUCCACCUCAUUGAGCUGAUGUUGAAGGUAAAAGCUCACAAUACACUUCUUGAGAUCGAGCAGGGAGUUCGUAGAGAGCUGAGUGUUAUCCAAUGCCAACAUCACCAGUCUUCAGUAGAGGCAACCAUGGAGGGGCAGCAGCUCCUGACCAACAAGCCCAAGCCACUGGUUUCUUCCCAUGAGCCUCUGGGGACUACAGCUGUGAUGAGUGGUGAUGUUGGAGGUGGUCUGUCAGACAAACAGGCCCAACCUGAGGUCAGGUCAGAGGAGAUGCUCCAGGUGAAGCCCCUCUGCCAAACUGAGGUGGAGGUUCUGAGUAGCCUGGUUGACAAUGCAACUCAUGGAGAAGACCAGGAGAUGAAUGAUGAGGUCCUUGUGGCAGAACCAAUCACCACUGCCUUCUUAUCCACAGCAGUGGAUGUCAGAGAGGUCCAGGAGGGCCUGGUGGACAAGGAGAAGACGGUUGAGGUUCUGGACCAGAGCAUUUCUCCAAGGAUCCAAAAGGCCCUCAGAGACAUUGAGGCCAUGG
ensembl:lncRNA